UACAGAUGUGUAAAGAUUUGCAUGUUGCAAAAACUUAAUUUGGGUACUGCUUUAAAGGAAUUAAAUGGGUUUUACUUUAUUCUGUUGAGAUUAGUAUAUAUUUGCAGCAAGAAAUGAGCAGUACGCCCUUGUAAUCAUCUGACAGAUCGGAAGAGGGU